AGGGGAUUUUGCUUUUUAGGGCGUUGUCGGGGAGGUUGAGGGGUAAUAAGUCAGAUUUGGUUGCAUUAAGGAGGUAUCCCGAUAUUGUUGAGUAUUCUUGUAGUGUCGUCAGGAGAGCUGUUAUGGACGGUUCGGGGUUGGUUAAGGUUAGUAGUAUGUCGUCUGCGUAUGCUGCGACUUUGAAUGUUUCGCCCCUGACCUGUAACCCUUCUAUAAGUGGGUUCUUUCGUAUGGUCUCUAGAAGGGGCUCCAGGGAUAGGGCGAAUAAGAG